rnacentral:rRNA from 1 species
UACGUAGGGGGCGAGCGUUGUCCGGAAUCAUUGGGCGUAAAGCGCGUGUAGGCGGCCCGGUAAGUCCGCUGUGAAAGUCCAGGGCUCAACCCUGGGAUGCCGGUGGAUACUGUCGGGCUCGAGUCCGGAAGAGGCGAGUGGAAUUCCUGGUGUAGCGGUGAAAUGCGCAGAUAUCAGGAGGAACACCAAUGGCGAAGGCAGCUCGAUGGGACGUGACUGACGCUGAGACGCGAAAGCGUGGGGAGCAAACAGG